AGAAAGGUGUCUGAUAAAAAGUAGUAAAUUGUAAAUUUACCAAUGAAUUAAAAAUUCCCUUUCUA
rnacentral:tRNA from 1 species